GCCACUGUGGUCUAGCGGUUGGAACGCUGGCCUUGUAAUCCUGGGGUCUCGGGUUCGAUUCCCGGCGGUGCCC
rnacentral:tRNA from 1 species